rnacentral:rRNA from 1 species
AUGAACGCUGGCGGCGUGCCUAAUACAUGCAAGUCGAGCGAACGGACGAGAAGCUUGCUUCUCUGAUGUUAGCGGCGGACGGGUGAGUAACACGUGGAUAACCUACCUAUAAGACUGGGAUAACUUCGGGAAACCGGAGCUAAUACCGGAUAAUAUUUUGAACCGCAUGGUUCAAAAGUGAAAGACGGUCUUGCUGUCACUUAUAGAUGGAUCCGCGCUGCAUUAGCUAGUUGGUAAGGUAACGGCUUACCAAGGCAACGAUGCAUAGCCGACCUGAGAGGGUGAUCGGCCACACUGGAACUGAGACACGGUCCAGACUCCUACGGGAGGCAGCAGUAGGGAAUCUUCCGCAAUGGGCGAAAGCCUGACGGAGCAACGCCGCGUGAGUGAUGAAGGUCUUCGGAUCGUAAAACUCUGUUAUUAGGGAAGAACAUAUGUGUAAGUAACUGCGCACAUCUUGACGGUACCUAAUCAGAAAGCCACGGCUAACUACGU